rnacentral:lncRNA from 1 species
UUUCAUUCAACUUUUAAUUCUCGUUUUUCAAUUGCAAAACAUCUGCCCCCAUCGCUUUCACUCCAGCGGUUCAGAUCUAGGGUUUCCCCAUACGAUUCAAGAUUAUCCCAGUUGAUUCAAGAUCAAGGAUUUCUCAAUGACAGGCUUUCUCAAUGACACUAGAUCGUGAAUUUCUCUCUAUCCGGCACCAGAUCGACUGUGUUUAAACUCCCAAUAUGUGUUGGGUUCCUCAACCAUAGUGGUCAUGGGUGGAAAACGAUGAUGAAGACACGGGGCUUGGUUGGUGGCUAGAUUGGAAGUGUAUUUUGGCCUGUGGAUUAUGAAGAAUCUAAUUGCUUAAACCUUUCGAUGCUCGUUUUUGGCAUGUGGGAUUUGUGACAGGAAUUUGUUGCACAUGUUUCUUAAUAAGAUGUGUGAUGGUUGCUAUCUCUGCGUUUAACAAGGAAGCCGAUGUCCAUGUUCGGAAUUACCCUAUCCUUGAUCUUGCUUACUACAUGUUCAACUUAAAAGGGGGUCUGAUCCGGCUAUGGAAGAGAUUGAAGCUAUGGAAGAUGAUGGAGCGUUAGUGAAGCAUAUUGGCUAAACUUUCCGCUUUUCUGCUAUAGAGGCUAAAUUUAUUAGUGCUCACCGAGGAGAAUUUUGGUUGGUGAAAGCAAUUGUGAUGAAGAUUCUGAUAAUAUGCAGUUCGUUUGCUUAUUGAAAAUAUUCAUAAGGUGGUGGUUUUUUCUCUUGAUGUUUCAAUCUGUGAACAGCAAAGCAUUUGGUCAGUGAUAGCAGUCAACCCAACCCGCCAGUCCCACCGCCAGAGGGAAGAGCAACCACAGUGCAGAGCACUGCCUCUAAUGAGAAUGAUCACGAUUAUGAUAUUAGUGAUGACGACGAUGAUGAUGGUUUUGUAACCGUCCCUGCAAGUUAAGUGAAGCACAGUGAUUUUUCAUGAUUGAGCAUGAAAACUGUUUAUCUGCGUAUUGCCUUUUCAUAUAAAAAUAACUUGUGACCAAUUAUCUAAACUUGAGUCUGUACUAUUUUUUUGUUACUUAUGGUUCCUGUUUGCAGCCCCACCUAUUACUCGGGUUGAUCUCUCAGAUUGUUAAGAUACAACUUCUAGCAACUGUUGAUAUAAAGAAAACUCCUGAGUUGUCAGCAAUGGUUGGAGAUAGCCAGGUUCAAAGGCUUGUUUGGUUUCUUACAGACUUGUUUAGUGUGGUCCCGUGAGGUUUCGGAAAACGGGUUCUCAUGCUUACCAAAUGAAAAAAGGGUGAUAGUUAAAUGAUUCAAACACUUAUUGUGUUUUUUAUUCCUUUGCAUUUAGAUGGGUUCUUCUUGAAGUGCUUGACAAACUUGCCCCGGGUUGGGUUACUUGGAAGCAAGCAUCGAAACCUCCAAUUAAAAUGCCUUUUAGAAAAGUUGAGAAUUUUAACCAAGUUGUAAGGAUUGGGAAGGAAUUAAACUUCUCCACUUGUAAAUGUUGUUGGAGAUGAUAUUGUUUCAGGAAACAAGAAACUCAUAAUAGCUUUUUUAUGGCAAUUGAUGAGAUUUAGCAUGCUUCAACGUCUCAAAAACUUAAGAACUCAUGGUCGAGGCAAAGAGAUAACUGAUGCUGAUAUUCUACAAUGCGCCAACAUGAAAGUCAAAUAGUCAGGGAAAAGACAAAUGGAUAGCUUCAAGGAUAAACGCCUGUCGGAUGGUGUUUUCUUCCUUGAGCUUCUUAGCGCGGUGAAAAAGAAGGUUGUCAACUGGGGUCUUGUGACCAAAGGCGAGAGUGAGGAGGAUAAGAAGUUAAAUGCAACAUAUAUAAUUAGUAAGAAAGCUUGGAUGCUCAAUCUUUUUAUUUCUUGAGGACAUUCUUGAGGUUAACCCGAAGAUGAUUCUGAUCCUAACAGCAAGCAUAUCAUGUACUGGAGCUUGUUACAGAAGUCUAAAGGUGAUGAAGAACAUGGGAACACGCCUGAACAAGAGGGCAACACGCCAUAACAAGAUGGGAACGCGGCUGAAGAAGAAGGCAAUGCACCUGAAGAAGGCAACAUAGCCAUUGAUGAAGGAGACAGUCUUAGCGUGAUACAAGAAAAGACCACUGAAAGUGAAAACACUAAUGAAGGGUGGCAAGAUUAUGCUAGAACUCAUUUAGCCAAUGACGCUAAGGCAGCAAAGAAGGGUGGCGAGAGGCAGUUCAAUGGUUUAAUCGACGUUUACAAGAAGACAUACGCAUCAGACGGCAUUGCUGGGUUAUACCGUGGGUUCCCUCUUUCAGCUGCUGGUAUUUUUGUUAACCGUGGUAUGUAUUUCGGAAUGUAUGACUCUCUCAAACCAAUUCUCCUCACCGGAUCAUUGCAGGAUAAUUUCUUUGCUAGCUUUGCGCUCGGUUGGUUGAUCACAAACGGAGCUGGUCUAGCCUUGUACCCGAUUGAAACAGUGCGAAGAAGAAUGAUGAUGACAUCUGGGGAAGCCAUCAAGUACAAGAACACGUUUGACGCGUUCAACCAAAUUGUGAAAAAAGAGGGUGUCAAAUCAUUGUUCAAGGGUGGAGGUGCUAACAGCUGUGGCUGGUGCAGGUGUGCUUGCCGGUUGACAAUGGUCAAGAUUCAACUCUUGAUUCUCUUGUUAAGUUGACAGGCCUUUUGAUUAUUUAUGAUUUUACUGCCUUGUAGUUUACAUUUGUU